CAUCAAAUGUUGGCUGUCCAGAUGAUUAACACUCAUUUGUUAGCAAGGGCCGGGCAAGACCGGUGCCAGCCGCCGCGGUAACACCGGCGGCCCGAGUGGUAACCGUUUUUAUUGGGUCUAAAGGGUCCGUAGCCGGCCUGAAAAGUCCUUUGGGAAAUCUGACAGCUUAACUGUCAGGCUUCUAAGGGAUACUGUCAGGCUUGGGACCGGGAGAGGUAAGGGGUACUCCAAGGGUAGGAGUGAAAUCUUGUAAUCCUUGGGGGACCAUCUGUGGCGAAGGCGCCUUACCAGAACGGGUCCGACGGUGAGGGACGAAAGCUAGGGGAGCAAACCGGAUUAGAUACCCGGGUAGUCCUAGCCGUAAACGAUGCUCGCUAGGUGUCAGGCACGGUGCGUCCGUGUCUGGUGCCGCAGGGAAGCCGUUAAGCGAGCCACCUGGGAAGUACGGUCGCAAGGCUGAAACUUAAAGGAAUUGGCGGGGGAGCACUACAACGGGUGGAGCCUGCGGUUUAAUUGGAUUCAACGCCGGAAAACUCACCGGGUGCGACAGCAAUAUGUAGGUCAGGCUGAAGGUCUUACCCGAAUCGCUGAGAGGAGGUGCAUGGCCGUCGUCAGUUCGUACUGUGAAGCAUCCUGUUAAGUCAGGCAACGAGCGAGACCCGCGCCCACAGUUGCCA
rnacentral:rRNA from 1 species